GUGACAUUGAAUGUUCCAUAGGUCGGAGUAUUGGUUCCAUUUACAACUUUUUUAGAUAUUUUUUUAACGUACAUAUCAUUAUCGCCACCUUCAAUUUAUUACAUUUUCU
rnacentral:misc_RNA from 1 species